AGAACGAACGCUGGCGGCAGGCCUCAAACAUGCAAGUCUAGGGGGUGUAGCAAUACAUCACCGGCGGACGGGUGCGUAACACGUGGGAAUAUACCUUUUGGUUCGGAACAACGCAGGGAAACUUGCGCUAAUACCGAAUGUGCCCUUACGGGGAAAGAUUUAUCGCCAAAGGAUUAGCCCGCGUAGGAUUAGCUAGUUGGUGAGGUAAUGGCUCACCAAGGCUCCGAUCCUUAGCUGUUCUGAGAGGAAGAUCAGCCACACUGGGACUGAGACACGGCCCAGACUCCUACGGGAGGCAGCAGUUGGGAAUCUUGGACAAUGGGGGAAACCCUGAUCCAGCCAUGCCGCGUGAGUGAUGAAGGCCUUCGGGUUGUAAAACUCUUUCGACGGGGACGAUAAUGACGGUACCCGUAGAAGAGCUCCGGCUAACUUCGCGCCAGCAGCCGC
rnacentral:rRNA from 1 species